UACGUAGGGAGCAAGCGUUGUCCGGAAUCAUUGGGCGUAAAGCGCGCGUAGGUGGCCAUUUAAGUCCGCUGUGAAAGUCAGAGGCUCAACCUUUGAAAGCCGGUGGAUACUGGAUGGCUAGAGUACGGAAGAGGCGAGUGGAAUUCCUGGUGUAGCGGUGGAAUGCGCAGAGUAUCAGGAGGAACACCCAUAGCGAAGGCAGCUUGCUGGGACGUUACUGACGCUAAGGCGCGAAAGCGUGGGGAGCGAACGAGG
rnacentral:rRNA from 1 species